CAAGGGAGCGGACUCAAAGAAGUAAUUGUGAAAUAUGUGUGGACUGAAUCCUUACUUGGCCCUUGUAUUUUGGAGAUCCUUGAUUCGUCUGAGCCCUUGAGUCAGGCAGCACACUUGAGGUUUCUGGACGGGACCUGCCCUUUCCAGCCUUUGUCUUUGGAGGCCUUCAUUUGAGUUUAUAGAUGGCCCAGCCCUUGGUUCUUGGAGAAGGUCACCGCUUCCUUAGAACAGCAGCUCUUGAGGUAAGAAGGGAUAAUCCUCAGGAAACCCAUCUGGAAGAUCACCCCUCCAUCUCAGACCUCUCACCAGGGCCUCAGAACAGAGGCAGAAGAGGCCCAGGAAAGACUAUGCCAGAACUGCCUGGACAGAAGUAAUCCUUGGUCCUCCUACCCAGAAUGGGCAACACUGGGUGAUGUCACCACAUCCAGAAUUCCGGACUGUCUAGCGAUCAGCUUCAGAACUGAGGUGAGGCUGGCAGCACCGCCGAGGGCCCCUCACAGGAGGCUUUGUGAGGACACAGUCCAAGAAAAGGAGUCACCACCCGCAGAAGGGGACAUUGCCCCUUUGCCUGCCCUCAUCAACCCCAGUCCCUUCGCUCUGCACUUAUUCUCCGCACAACCUAGAGAGAUGCUCCAUUACGCCUGCUGUUCUGAUGCUGUACCUUUACAGUUCUCUUCAGUUUUCCAAGAGCAACAGGAAAUGAACAAGUCACCGGUGAGUUAUGUAUUCCCACUUUGUUUUACAGUGGACUUUGUGUAA
rnacentral:lncRNA from 1 species